rnacentral:rRNA from 1 species
UACGUAGGUGGCGAGCGUUGUCCGGAUUUACUGGGCGUAAAGAGCGCGCAGGCGGUCGUACAAGUCGCGUGUGAAAACCCCUGGCUCAACUGGGGAGGGUCACGCGAUACUGUUCGACUCGAAGGCAGGAGAGGGAAGUGGAAUUCCCGGUGUAGUGGUGAAAUGCGUAGAUAUCGGGAGGAACACCAGUGGCGAAGGCGACUUCCUGGCCUGUUCUUGACGCUGAGGCGCGAAAGCUAGGGUAGCAAACGGG